rnacentral:rRNA from 1 species
GCUGGCGGCAUGCCUAACACAUGCAAGUCGAACGCUUUUGGGGUUUCGGCCCCAAGGGAGUGGCGCACGGGUGAGUAGCGCGUGGGAACCUGCCCUGUUGUGGGGGAUAACCGAGGGAAACUUCGGCUAAUACCGCAUGCGCCCCGGCGAAAGCCGGGGGAAAGAUUUAUCGCAGCAGGAGGGGCCCGCGUCGGAUUAGCUAGUUGGUGGGGUAACGGCCCACCAAGGCGAUGAUCCGUAGCUGGUCUGAGAGGAUGAUCAGCCACACUGGGACUGAGACACGGCCCAGACUCCUACGGGAGGCAGCAGUGGGGAAUAUUGGACAAUGGGCGCAAGCCUGAUCCAGCAAUGCCGCGUGAGUGAUGAAGGCCUUAGGGUUGUAAAGCUCUUUCGCCCGCGACGAUGAUGACGGUAGCGGGAGAAGAAGCCCCGGCUAACUUCGUGCCAGCAGCCGCGGUAAUACGAAGGGGGCGAGCGUUGUUCGGAUUUACUGGGCGUAAAGGGCGCGUA